AACGAACGCUGGCGGCAUGCCUAACACAUGCAAGUCGAACGAGACCUUCUGGUCUAGUGGCGCACGGGUGCGUAACGCGUGGGAACCUGCCCUUAGGUUCUGAAUAACUCCCCGAAAGGGGUGCUAAUACCGGAUAAUGUCUUCGGACCAAAGAUGUAUCGCCUUUGGAUGGGCCCGCGUUGGAUUAGCUAGUUGGUAGGGUAUAAGCCUACCAAGGCGACGAUCCAUAGCUGGUCUGAGAGGAUGAUCAGCCACACUGGGACUGAGACACGGCCCAGACGCGUAGGGGAGGCAGCAGUGGGGAAUAUUGGACAAGGGGCGAGAGGCUGAUCCAGCAAUGCCGCGUGAGUGAUGAAGGCGUUAGGGUUGUAAAGCUCUUUUAACCGGGAUGAUAAUGACAGUACCGGGAGAAUAAGCUCCGGCUAACUCCGUG
rnacentral:rRNA from 1 species